CAGAGACAGAAAGAAGAGAAGAAGAAGAAGAAGCAAAAGGAGCAGAAGGUUGGAAAACCAACCGAAACAUUCACAAUUUUCUCUUUCUCUCUGUUUUUUUCUUUCUCUUUUC
rnacentral:ribozyme from 13 species